rnacentral:lncRNA from 1 species
GUCUUUAAUGAAUUCCCAGCAAGCCUGUAUCUCACCAUUUGGGGAGGGGUGCAAGGUAUGGAAUGAUUUUCCUUUAAUUCAGUAUGUUUGAGGCACCUCCUGAGUGGAUCCCCGGGCCUGGAGCUGGAGGGACACUGGUGAUGAAGCAUGGAACCCCCCACCCCGUCCCGGGCACUGACACCUUCUGGGCUUCCCUCAGGUAUCUUCGUCAUCGAGCAAAGGGGCAAUGAAGACACGGAGAACAAACAAUUUGUCCAACAUCUUCCACGUAGAAACAAUUUAAAACAAGAAAGACAGGUUUGUUUAGAAGCCCAUGGCUGGACCUGAGAAUGACUUUUCCCCCUGGAGCCCAUGGGUCAGAGCGCAGGGGAAAGGGCCUCCCCCUGCACGAAGAGGCGUCCGGCUGUGGCUGAACCCACUAUCACCCAUGAGCGAGGACUGACGGACAGGCUGUCAGGGGCCAGGCGCGGCAAUGAAAGAAGGAAAGACCAACCGUGGGCGUGGUUUGAGGGGGUCCCCGGCUGUUCAGACAGCUGUGGACCAGGGUGACCAAAGAGCCAGCAAAACAGAGCAGGGAGAGAACCCCUCCAACAGGAGACUCAGAGUAUCAGCCCUGAAGAAACACAGGAACUCCCAACCAUCUGGACCCCUAACCAUUUCUGCAAGGAAAGAAACAGGGCUACUUCUCCAGGUCUGACCUUGAACUAGCUACUCUGGGCAUCGGUUUCCUCUGGCACUCCGUCCCUCUCUAAAUCCUGUGUCCUGGAACGCCCCCACUCACGGAACACAGUGACGUGGGGCAAGUCACUGGACUUCGUGAGUCCCGUGCCAUCGAGUGUCAGACUGAACUGGCCAGCCAGGGUCAGAGGGGGUUCGAGGUCUUGCGGACACCGCAGUGACCAGUAAGGCGUGGAUAAACUGGCUCGGUGGAGUGCGAAUGAGCGGAGUAAGGCGGCGGACAGUACGUGUGAGUUCUCCCCGGGUACCUCCUGAUUCCGCGCUGGACGCUGAGAGGUGUGGGCAGCGCUCUUGGGGGGCGAGGAGCGGCCAGGCCCCGAGAACACCACAUCGUGCACUCAGAGAGGCUUUAUCGCGGGUCCCCUUUGUGCCAGGUACUAUUUUAGGCUCUUGGUACUUUGGGGACAAGGGAAGUGGGAGGGAGAGCUAAAGAUGAAUGAGGCAUAAUUUCUUAUGGAGUUUACUUAAGGAUUUACUAGCUCGUGGGAGAAGCAGUCACGUAAAUAAAUAACUAUAAAUGGGGUCA